rnacentral:rRNA from 1 species
UGGGGAAUAUUGGGCAAUGGGCGAAAGCCUGACGCAGCAACGCCGCGUGAGUGACGAAGGCCUUAGGGUUGUAAAGCUCUUUUGGCGGGGAAGAUAAUGACGGUACCCGCAGAAUAAGCUCCGGCUAACUUCGUGCCAGCAGCCGCGGUAAUACGAAGGGAGCUAGCGUUGUUCGGAAUCACUGGGCGUAAAGCGCACGUAGGCGGAUUGUUUAGUCAGGGGUGAAAUCCCGGGGCUCAACCUCGGAACUGCCUUUGAUACUGGCAAUCUCGAGUCCGAUAGAGGUGGGUGGAAUUCCUAGUGUAGAGGUGAAAUUCGUAGAUAUUAGGAAGAACACCGGUGGCGAAGGCGGCCCACUGGAUCGGUACUGACGCUGAGGUGCGAAAGCGUGGGGAGCAAACAGGAUUAGAUACCCAGGUAGUCCCUGAGCGGGCUGGCAAGGCGCAU